rnacentral:lncRNA from 1 species
UUUAAUCCCUCUUUUGGCUGGAUCGCCCUUUCGGGUUUUCAAUCCACCGGGAUACCCAUUUUUCCCUAAGCCGCCCUCGCGGGUUUCCGACUUACCGGGUGUACAAAUUAUUUUCAUUUUUUAUCCCUAAUUUUUGCCCGAACCUUUUCUUUCUGUUUUUUGGUUCGCCGGGAUGCCCUUUUUUGCCUGGACUCUUUUGUUCUUUUCGUCCAGCGGGUCAAUUUAUGCGAAGUAUUUUUUGACUACAUCUGAGUUAACAGGGGACGGAA